CCAAACUUGGUCAUUUAGAGGAAGUAAAAGUCGUAACAAGGUUUCCGUAGGUGAACCUGCGGAAGGAUCAUUAUUGAAUAAACUUGGUAGAUUGUUGCUGGCUCUCUUGUCAGAGCAGGUGCACGUCUAUCAUUUUUAUCUUUCCACCAUGUGCACAAUGCAUAGACCUGAAACAUUUAUUUGAUCUUUGAUCAUUUGGGAAACUGCUGUUGUAAUGGCAGCUUUUUCUGUGUUCGGGUUCUGUGACUUUUAUAUAUACUCCACUGUAUGUAAAUGAACGAUAUAAAGGGUUUUCAGAACCUAUAACUAUAUUAUACAACUUUCAGCAACGGAUCUCUUGGCUCUCGCAUCGAUGAAGAACGCAGC
rnacentral:misc_RNA from 1 species